rnacentral:rRNA from 1 species
AUGAACGCUGGCGGCGUGCCUAAUACAUGCAAGUAGAACGCUGAAGCUUGGUGCUUGCACCGAGCGGAUGAGUUGCGAACGGGUGAGUAACGCGUAGGUAACCUGCCUCUUAGCGGGGGAUAACUAUUGGAAACGAUAGCUAAUGCCGCAUAAAAGUCGAUAUCGCAUGAUAUUGAUUUGAAAGGUGCAAAUGCAUCACUAAGAGAUGGACCUGCGUUGUAUUAGCUAGUUGGUGAGGUAACGGCUCACCAAGGCGACGAUACAUAGCCGACCUGAGAGGGUGAUCGGCCACACUGGGACUGAGACACGGCCCAGACUCCUACGGGAGGCAGCAGUAGGGAAUCUUCGGCAAUGGGGGCAACCCUGACCGAGCAACGCCGCGUGAGUGAAGAAGGUUUUCGGAUCGUAAAGCUCUGUUGUAAGAGAAGAACGAGUGUGAGAGUGGAAAGUUCACACUGUGACGGUAACUUACCAGAAAGGGACGGCUAACUACGUG